rnacentral:lncRNA from 1 species
AUCGGAUCUUAGACUACAUUUAGAGAAGAAGUUGCGCAACAAAACAUAACCACCCUCGCAUUGUCUUCUUCUCCAUAGAACAGAGCAGCCAUAAACGACCACUCUUAUACCUCUCAAACUCCAUGGAAGCAGCCGAAUAGAGCUCCAAAAUGAGCUGAUAACUCCUAGUAAAACUAGCUUGUAAAUCCCUUCGAAGAAGACCUAAAAAGUAGUCUGAAUUCUGGCUAGGAAUCAGAAAGAAAGAAGCUAUCAUUUCUCGUCCAGAUUCGCCGAAAAAUUUGCCCGGUUCAUCUCAUUGUUGUUUCAUUCAAAUUCUGGCAGAAUCCGGUUGGUUUUCCAUCGAAGUUCCUAUUUUUCCGAUGAGGGAGUCGAGUUCGUCGUCGUUGACACUCGUUGUUUGAGUUUUCCGGUCGAGGUCCUGCUGCUCUUGCUCGGAGGUGCGUUGAACAUUUUUUCGAUAUAGUUGCUAUAAUUGUUGAGGUUAAUUAUUCUCUUCUCUUCUAUUGUUCGCACUGUUAAUUUGUUAUUUGACAAAUACUUCAACAACUUUGAUUCUCGGUUUGGUUAUGCCGUCAUUUGAUUUUUCUUUGAAUUGUCUCAACAUUUGUUUGGAUAGUCAUGGUUUAAUUUUUAAUUUUCAGUCAUAAGAAAGUAUUUUAUAGGCAUACCACGAUUUUCUUCCCUUUGAAUGGGUGUGUUUCCUAUGUAUAAUGUGUGUGAGUCCUAAUUUUUGUAUAAUCUUGGAAAUGGUUUAGAUUCUAGUUUUUUAUCAAUGUUGUUUUUGCUUCUGUUUGUUCGAUUUUUUCUUAAUUAACGAGUUGGCAUGAAUUUGCUUUUUUAUUUGUUUUUCUAAAUUAUGAGAAACUAGUCAUUUUCAUUAAUUAGUAGAACUCCAUAGAGGCAAAUUGAUAUAAGACAAGUUUUGCCUUCAAAUAUGGGUAAGAUGAUAAUAUGGAGUCGUGAGAUUUCGUAACCCGCCAAUGAUCUUGUAUUAUUCCUUAAAGAAACUAAUACGCUUGUGUAAAUUUAGGGAAAUAAUUAUGAACAUCCGUAGUUUGUUUUAGUUGGGUACAAUCAUUUGAAAUUAGAUUCGAGGUGUGCUAUUUAGCGAAUUUUCAUGGCCCUCACAAUAUUAAUAACGCGUUAGUUGCUUUAGGCACGUAUUUUAAUAAUUUAUCUUUCCUAAACUCAUGUGUGCAUUUCAUGUGACCCAACUCCAAUUCUCAACAAUGUUAAAUAAAAUGUUUCAUGGAUCGCGGGUGCAUUUCAUGUGACGUGGUUCAAGGCGCGUAUUAAAUAACAUUGAAUCUUCAUAAAAAUAAUUAAAAGCAGUUUAAUAAGUUAAAAUGUACCAUAUGCUAAAACAUGUAUUAAAAUAAGAUAAUGAAGCCAAAUAUAAUAGUUGAGCGGCCAUGCUAGAACCACGGAACUUGGGAGUGCCAAACACCUUCUCCCGGGUUAACAGAAUUUCUUACCCGGAUUUCUAGUUCGUUGACUGUUAACAGAGUCAAAUCUUCCUCGAUUCAGGAUUUAAAAUCGGUGACUUAGGACACCAUUAAUUAUCCCAAGUGGCAAUUCUAAAAUCUCUUAAAUAAUUGAAUCCCAUUUCAAUUGUCCUUAGGAUUAUACAUGGAGAACUAAUGGUGAGUUGGAAGAAAUCUGAGGUUAAACAAUCCAUAUUGCAACAAGGAUUACAUUUGGCAGUUCUGAGCAAAUUCUCAUAUGGAAAACCCGUGAUCCAAGAAUUAAGGAAGGCAAUCCCAAUUCAAUGUGAGCUGAAAAGGCCAUGUUUGGUAGGUUUGAUUGCAGAGUCUCACGUCCUGAUCAAGUUAUCAUUUAUGGAGGAUUAUAUUCACUUGUUAUCGAAGCCCGCAUUCUAUUUAAAACCACAAGGAGAGUUUUGGCCGAUGAGAUGCACAAAGUAGAGUCCAUGGUGGUCUCCAUAUGUUGAGACACCAAUCGCAGCUUGGAUUUCAUUUCAAGAUCUUCCUCCUAAUUUCUUUGGUAAGGAGUUUGUAUUUUCUUUGGCUAAUGCAAUAGGAAGACCUUUACAUGUUGAUUUAGCUACGCAAAAUGGUACAAGACCUAGUUGUGCUAAGGUGAAGGUAGAGUUAAACCUACUUUCAACACUGCCUCAACGAAUCAAGAUUAUAGAAUAGGCGGAUGAAACUGGGCCUAAAGAAUCUAAAUAGAUUAAAAUAAGAUAUGAUUACAUGCCUAAAUAUUGCAAGACAUGUAAGAAGCAGGGUCAAAAGGAGGAGGAAUGUUGGGUAGCUAACCCAGAUUUACAAAUUUUUUUUGAUGGUGAUGGCAAGGUUCAACGCAAGGAGAGGGAGGUGCUAUUGAGUACUGACGUAGUUGGAACUGCUUCCAAUUCAUCUAAGCUGUUAUCAACAAGAUAAAAGGGGGCAUAUUAUGGAAGAAUACAUUGGAAAAAAGGUGGACAAAAGGAAAAGAGACCAAAGUUGAAGAAGUUGCAACUAAGAACAAGUUUCAUACACUGGAGGCGGAGGAAGUUCAGAAUCCUCCUCUUCUAACCACGGAGGUCAAAGGAGAAAAUCAUACCCAUGGAAAGAAGAAAGAACAAAUUGAAAGGCAACUCAAGGAGGUACAUGAGAAGGCAAAGGAAUUUAAGGAAUAAAAGGUAAAUCAUAAUCCUAAUCUUACUGGAAUAGGACAGCUGAAACGGAUAGUAUACGUGUGAAGAAGGAGGCAGUUGAGAAUAUGUUGAAAAAAUCAGUCAAUCAUAUUCCUAGUGGGAUUCAUUCAACUACUUCUACGGGAGGUCAAGAACUAGUUGAUUCUACUGUUCCUAUUAGGGAAGGAAUUAAGAAGGAGUUGACCAUUGAAUGGGUGCAUAGAAGGUUUGGUACAAACAAAGAGGAUCUAAGGACAAACUAUUCGUGCCAUGAGAUUCCCUCUAAAACUAAUGGGAAUUCUGGGCAGGUAGAUGAGGGGAUGGAGGUCAAUUCUACUAAGGUAUCAUGGGGAAAAGAAGCUGAGGCUAUGGAAGAAUAGAUGGAUGCAACAAAUGCAGUAACAAACAAAGAAUGAGGAGAUAACAAAUAAGUUCAACAAAUUUCCAGUACUGUAGCUGCUAAAGUAAACCCUAAUAGUGCAAAAGAUAGGGUUGACCGUAACCUAAGUUCUAUGGAUUCCAAACCUACAAGAUUUAGUGGAGGAGGUGCAUGAGCUCAAAAGGGACAUGGAGAUCAAGGUGGAUCAGCCAAAACAUCAAUGAUCAAUAAGAACACUAAUGGAACAGUAAACCCUAGCAAAAUUGGGGAGAUUUUGGCAUUUGUUGAUGGUAUUCCUGUUUAUUGUUUGGAGAAGGGAAUGGAUGAGAAGGUUCCUACAGAGGUUAGGAAAGAUAAACUAUGCCAAGAAAAACAAACAGUCCAUGGCAAUGUGCAUGAUAUCAAUGGAACAAUAAUUCUUAGUUGUUCUACUACAAUAAAUCCUGACCUAGGAUCUGUAUAUGAACUUCAAUUCAAGCAGAUGCAGAAUAAUUUGGGGAAUGUAGAGAGGGAUAGAGAGCUUCAAGUAGCAGCUAUAACUCCAUAUGAACCAGCAGCACAAGCUAUUGUUACACCGGAGAUAGAGGAAUUGGAAUCACUGCCUUUGGCAUGUGUAUCUUGAACUGACUCACCAAUACAGAUCCAAAUCGAUGUGCCAUUGAAGAGUCCAAAAUCUAGUACUUUAUGACAUUAUUACUCACAAGGACCUGCCUGAUGAGAUUCAGAAUAAUAUGAUUGAUCAACAAAAGCAAUUUGAGGAAGAAGAGGAUGAUGAAUCAACUGCUGAGAUAUUUAAGAUUGUUGCAAGGGAAGGGGAUUUAUCUCCAUCAUCUGUAGCUAAAAGUGAUAGGAAGGGGAAGAAGAUUCAACUUAAAGAUAUCACCUACUAGAAUUUUGCCCAGGAGGGCAACAUCUAAUGCUAGAAGAUGAUGAUCAAUGCUCUCAUAUGGAAUAUACGGUCUGUCAAAACUCAACAGGCCAUUCAAAGAGUCACCAAUGUGCAAAAGGAACAUGGAAUUUUUAUUGUUGCACUUAUGUAGCCUUUGCAAAAAAAAAAUUUAAUCAGAAGUAUAGAAGAAGAUUGGGGAUGGAGGCUGCAAUUUCAAAUGUCAAUGGAAGGAUCUGGUUGUUUAUUGAUGCUAUGGUGGAAUGUGAUCUAUUAAUUGAUACUGAGCAACAUAUGACAAUUAUAGUGUAUCAUAGAGAGGUUGGUAAGUACAUUAUGAUGACAUUUGUGUAUGCUAAAUGCUGAGCUCUAGAAAGGUUAGAAUUAUGGGACAAUUUGUAUUACUUGGCUAGUGAUAUGGAAUUACCUUGGUUAGUUGGGGGUGAUUUCAAUGUUGUUCUUGGAUAGGAGGAGAAAAUAGGGGGGCUUCCAUUAUAUCCUCUAGAGUAUGAAGACUUUUCUUUUGUGUCAAUUCAUGUGGACUAUUUGAUUUGCGGUAUAGGGGGAGUCCUUUUACUUAGUGGAAUGGAAGGUCAAAUGAGGAGUGCAUUCUUAGAAGAUUGGAUAGGAUUAUUGUAAAUUUUCCUUUUCAAACAUUGUUUCCAACAAUAGAAGUGGAACAUCUCAUUAGGACAGGCUCUGAUCAUUCACCCGUAGUUAUGAGUUGUGGAGAGGAUAUCAUGAAGAUUGUGAAGCCAUACAAGUUCUUGAAUUUAUGGAAAAAAAUGAAACAUUCUUGGAGGUGGUGAAGAAGAAUUGGAUUUUUAAUUUUAUAGGAGAUUCUUUCAUGAUGUUUAAGCACAAGUUGAAGAGGGUCAAGGUUGCUCUAUCAAAAUGGAGUAAAAUGACCUAUGGUGAUAUUUUCAAACAAUUAGCUAUUAGAGAGGAUGUAGUGAGGAUUAAGGAGAUGUUGUUUGAGGAGAAACCUUUAAUAUAAAAUAGAGUUAUUCUCCAACAGGCCCAAGCCGAGCUAAAGGAGUACUUGAGCAUUGAGGAACAAUACUGGAAGCAAAAAACAGGUAUGACAUGGUUUGAAGAGAGAGACAGAAAAACAAGGUUUUUUCAUAAUUGUGUCAAUGGGAAGAGGCAAAAGUUACAGUUGAAAAGAAUCCAGAAUGGUGAUGGUUCAUGGAUUGAUGAUCAAGAGAAACUAUUUGACGCUGCAGUUCAGUUUGUUCAUUAGCAAUUCACCAUGGAACGAGAUCAUGUAAGCUUUUAUAUGUUGAAUAAUGUUCCUUCAAUGGUGACAAUGGAGCAAAAUGUGGAAUUAUGCAGAUUACCAACUAUGGAAGAAGUGUAGAAUGUUGUCUUUGCUUUGAGUAGUGAAAGGUGCAAGUGGUCCAAAUGGUUUUUCUGGCUUGUUUUUCCAAGCAUGUUUAGUUAAGGUAAUCCAUUAGCUAAGUCCAUAACACACACUAACCUUAUAUUACUGCCUAAAAAACCACAAGUACAAACAUUCUCUGACCUUAGACCAAUAAUUUUGAGCAACUUCAUUAACGGUUUUCUCAAGAGUGGUUCAUGAUAGACUUGAAAGGAUUCUUCCUUCAUUGAUCUCAGCAAAUCAGUCAAGUUUUAUUAAAGGAGGAAGUAUAUUUGAGAACAUUUUGUUGACUUAGGAGAUUGUAACAUAUAUAAGAUUGAGUGGGAAUCCUGUUAAUGUAGUGAUAAAGUUAGACAUGGCUAAACAUAUGAUAAGGUGUCACGGAAAUAUUUGCUGCAUGUGUUAAGCAAAAUGGGCUUUGCUGAGUGUUUUAUCAAUAUGGUUUGGAACCUUAUCUCUAACAAUUGGUACUCAAUUAUAGUGAAUGGACAAGCUUCUGGAUUUUUUCAUUCUACUAGCGGUGUAAAGAAGGGGGAUCCUCUUUCACCAGCAUUGUUUAUUCUCACAGCAGAAGUGCUAUCAAGGGCAUUGAACAGAUUGUUUGAUGAUAGGCAGUUUAGAGGUUUUCGCGGGCCAAAAUGGUCAUAUCCUUUGAAUCACUUGCCCUAUGAAGAUGACACUAUCAUAUUUGCAUCAGCACGGCCUUACUCACUUUAGAAGAUAAUGGAUGCAUUGAAAUUAUAUGAAAGUACAUCUGGCCAGAUGAUCAACAAGAAAAAGAGCUCCUUUUAUAUGCUCUCAAAGGUGUCUAGUGCAUUGGUGAACUCAACAACUACCAUAGCAGGUUUUCCGAAAGGAAGUUUUCGAAUUAAUUACCUUGGAUGUCCUAUCUUUUACACCAGAAGAAGGAAGAACUAUUUUAAUGGUCUGAUUCAAAAGGUUAAGGCAAAGCUUCACUCAUGGAAAGGCAAGCUACUGUCUUAUGGAGGCAAGGCUACAUUGAUUACAAGUGUUUUGCAAAGCAUUCCUGCACACAUUUUGUUAGUAUUAGAACUUUCUCGUAAUGUGUUGGAACACCUUCAUAAAAAUAUUUGCAAGAUUUUUCCGGAGCAAUAAAGAAGAGUGGAGAAGCAGACAUUGGACAAAGUGGCUGAAACUAUGCCUUCCUAAGGAGGAGGGGAGAAUAGGCUUCAGAUCUUUGUUUGAUGUGUCCAAGGCCUUAUUUACAAAACUAUGGUGGAGAUUCAGAACAUCUAAAUCUCUAUAGUCCAAUUUUAUGUGGAACAAGUUCUGCACGAAGGAAUUAUCUACUGUGGUUCAAUUUAGAAAUGGCUCUCAUGUUUGGAGAAAAAUGCUAGAAGCUAGAGAUGAGGUGGAGCAUGAAAUUAUGCGGGAAAGAAUAGGGGCUAUACCAAUAUGUGGCAUGGAAAUUGGAAUGGUUGGGAGCCUUAUAUCAUGUAUUUCCUCCAGACUUCCCCAUAAAUGAAGGUCUGCAAAAAGUGGCUGAUUUGAGAACUGAAGAUCAUUGGGAUGAUGCAAUGUGGAAUCACACCUUCCCUAAGGAAAUUGCUGAUCAUAUUAGACAGGAGAUUCAUUUUUAUAAUGGAGAUGACUACUAGGAUACUCCUAGGCGGAUGCCUACAUCCUCAGGUAAAUUUACUAUGAGUAGUGCAUGGAGAAUAAUGAGGCAUAGGGAACCUAGCAAUCUCAAAUUUGCAAAGUUGUGGACCAAAGGGUUACCUUUAGAUAUUUCAUUCUUCUUGUGGAGAGUGUGGAGAGAAAAGGUACCUACGCUGAUAUAUGUACAAGAGGGGUUUACAUGGUAGUGUCAAAGUGUUGGUGUUGCAUACCAUCGCAAGAGUAUUCAUUCCAACAUUUGUUUCUAACAAAUGAGACAACAACCGAAGUGUGGAAAAUUGUUUUACAGGCUACAUGGUUGAUGACUACCAUGGUGCAGGUUCAUCAAGUCGUAAGGGAAUGGUGGAAUGCAAAAAGUUGUCCAAAAUUAAGUCCCAUGUAGAAGUAGCUCAUGCAGUAAUUCUAUGGGAACUCUAGAAAAGAAGGAACACAAUCAAUUAUGGGGGAUCAGUGUCUUGCAGUAGAGUGAUUCAUGAGGUGAAUAAGCCACUGUAUUACUUGGCAAAGGUGAGGUAUCCUUGGCUUCCUGGGAUUGCAUUGCUAUGGCCAAUAUGAUCAGAUUCUUUGAGAGCUAUAAGCUAUAUGAAGGAUGGUUCAAGUGUAAUACAGACAGAGCUUCAAAAGGGAAUCCGGGUCCUAGAUCUUGUGGAUUUUGUGUUAAGGAUCAUAGGGGGGACUUGGUAUUUGCUAAAGCAAGGGAUUUAGGAGAGGCAACUAAUGUUGUAGCUGGGGCCAAAUCCCUUGUAGAUGGAUUGGUCUAUUGUGUAGAGAAAUAGCUCCACCCUUUGAUCAUGAAGACCGAUUCUUUGGUAAUGAAGAAGAUAAUUGAUGAUGAGUACACCAUGGUGUAUAGGGCCAGAAGUGAGGAGGAUAAAGGAUAUUAAGGUGUCAUACAAUGUGCUAUUCCAACAUGUGUUGAGGGAGAGCAACAAAGUGGCAGAUGUUUUAGCUAAUCACGUUUUCUCUUUUGCAGGUACAGUCAUAUUUUAAUCAUUUCAGGAGUUACCAACUAAAGGAAUAGUUCUAAUCAACAUGGACAGAGCUCUGUUUCCUAUCCUGAAAGCUAGGAUAACAAAAAGAAAAGCUCCAGACUGAUGAGUACAAUGUAAGUAAAGAGGCCUCAAACUCAUCUUAUGUAUUUCUGGAUGUUGUUGAAUGGUUGCUCAAUGGUAUUAGCAUAGUUUCAUGCUCAACCUGGGGACUAUUUAGCAGGGUAAAAAAUACUGUAUAAACAGGUUGUGGUAGGUAAUUGGGAAGCUCUUAUUAAUGAACACAAGUUAAAAUCUCAGAGGAACAGUAUUGUUGUUCUUUGCACAACAAUUUUUGCUUAUUAUACAUGUGAUCAUAGGCGAUUUAAGGAAGUGAAAAACCUACAUUUUGUAUGCUGAUUUGCAGAAUAGAGGGUAUAGUUGGUAUAUGCUUUGCACAUCCAAGCUUUGUGAUGUCCUACAUGAAAAUGUGGCUAUACAG